rnacentral:rRNA from 1 species
UACGUAGGUGGCAAGCGUUGUCCGGAUUUAUUGGGUUUAAAGGGUGCGUAGGCGGCUUUGUAAGUCAGUGGUGAAAUAUGGCAGCUCAACUGUCAAGGUGCCAUUGAUACUGCGGAGCUUGAGUACAGAUGAGGUAGGCGGAAUUGACGGUGUAGCGGUGAAAUGCUUAGAUAUCGUCAAGAACACCUAUAGCGAAGGCAGCUCACUAGGCUGUAACUGACGCUGAGGCACGAAAGUGUGGGGAUCAAACAGG